AAUUAAUAAUAAUCAAUAUAACAAAAAAUAUUUUAAGCAUAUGGUCCUUUCGUACUAAUAUGGAUUAACAAUCUUAGGAUAGAAACCGACCUGGCUCACGCCGGUCUGAACUCAGAUCAUGUAAGAAUUUAAAGGUCGAACAGACCUAAUCAUUGGGCUCCUGCACCCAAAAUUUUUCUUAAUCCAACAUCGAGGUCGCAAUCUGCUUUGUCGAUAUGAGCUCUCAAAAACAAUUACGCUGUUAUCCCUAAGGUAACUUAAUCUGAUGAUCAUAAAUUAUGGAUCAAAAUAACAAACAUAAAUAAAUGAUAUAAUAAUGAAGAGUUUAUCUAUUCUUCAUGUCACCCCAACAAAACAUCAUCAUUAAAUAUAGAAAGACAAACAAAAAACUAUAUAAAAGUAAAAUGUCAAGCUCUAUAGGGUCUUCUCGUCCUAAAGAAGAAUUUAAGCCUUUUGACUCAAAAGUUAAAUUCAAAAAUUUAUUAAGAGACAGUUGAUUUCUCGUCAAGCCAUUCAUUCCAGCCACUAAUUAAGAGACUAAUGAUUAUGCUACCUUUGCACGGUCAAAAUACCGCGGCUCUUUAAAAAUACGCUCAGUGAGCAGGCCAGACCUCAAAAUAUAAACAAGAGGACAUGUUUUUGAUAAACAGGCGGAAAUCAAUUUUGCCUAGUUCCUUAUAAUAAGUUCACAAGGUAAAAAUUUCAUACAAAUAAAUAUACUAAUUCUAUCAUUAUUACAAAAAUUUUAAAAUUAAAUUAAUAAUCUUAAUAAAAAACCUAAAAUAUUUAUAAAAUCAAAAUAAAAAAUAAUGAACUAAAACGUAAUCUUAAAGAUAGCUGGUGUAAAGCUUACUAUUAUAUUUCUAUAAAAUAAAUUAUAGUUCAUUAUUUUUUAUUUUGAUUUUAUAAAUAUUUUAGGUUUUUUAUUAAGAUUAUUAAUUUAAUUUUAAAAUUUUUGUAAUAAUGAUAGAAUUAGUAUAUUUAUUUGUAUGAAAUUUUUACCUUGUGAACUUAUUAUAAGGAACUAGGCAAAAUUGAUUUCCGCCUGUUUAUCAAAAACAUGUCCUCUUGUUUAUAUUUUGAGGUCUGGCCUGCUCACUGAGCGUAUUUUUAAAGAGCCGCGGUAUUUUGACCGUGCAAAGGUAGCAUAAUCAUUAGUCUCUUAAUUAGUGGCUGGAAUGAAUGGCUUGACGAGAAAUCAACUGUCUCUUAAUAAAUUUUUGAAUUUAACUUUUGAGUCAAAAGGCUUAAAUUCUUCUUUAGGACGAGAAGACCC